GACGAACGCUGGCGGCGUGCUUAACACAUGCAAGUCGAACGGAAAGGCCCUGCUUGUGUGGUGCGCUCGAGUGGCGAACGGGUGAGUAACAUGAGAGUAACCUGCCUUUGACUUUGGGAUAACUUCAGGAAACUGGGGCUAAUACCGGAUAGGCGCCUCUGCCGCAGGGUGGGGGUUGGAAAGUUUGCGGGGGUGGGGGUGGACGCGGGGGUUAACAGUGUGUUGGGUGGGUAGUUGCAUAACAACGGUUUGACGGGUCGGCCGUCCGGGGGGGUGGACGGGCCCAGUUGGAAUUGAGUACGGCCCCGAACUCCUCCGGGGGGCGGCGGUGGGGAAUAUUGAACAAUGGGCGGAGGCCUGAUGCAGCAACGCGGCGUGGGGGAUACCGGCCUUCGGGUUGUAACCCGUUUUCGCCUGGGACGAGGCGUGUGUGACGGUAGUGGGUAAAGAAGCACCGGCUAACUACGUG
rnacentral:rRNA from 1 species